rnacentral:rRNA from 1 species
UUACAGAGUCGCAUACUCCGUAAACCAUUGUGAACGUUACCCUAACCGUUGCUUCGGCGGGCGGCGCCCGGGCCUCACCGCCCGCGGCGCCCCCAGGCCCCCCGUGGGCGCCCGCCGGAGGUACACCAAACUCUUGCAUUGUAUGGCCUCUCUGAGUAUUCUGUACUGAAUAAGUCAAAACUUUCAACAACGGAUCUCUUGGUUCUGGCAUCGAUGAAGAACGCAGCGAAAUGCGAUAAGUAAUGUGAAUUGCAGAAUUCAGUGAAUCAUCGAAUCUUUGAACGCACAUUGCGCCCGCCAGUAUUCUGGCGGGCAUGCCUGUUCGAGCGUCAUUUCAACCAUCAAGCCCCCGGGCUUGUGUUGGGGACCUGCGGCUGCCGCAGGCCCCGAAAACCAGUGGCGGGCUCGCUGUCACCCCGAGCGUAGUAGUUUACACCUCGCCCAGGGCGUGCCGCGGGUUCCCGGCCGUUAAACCCCCCAUACCACAAGGUGAC